UACGGAAGGCAGCAGUGGGGAAUAUUGCACAAUGGGCGCAAGCCUGAUGCAGCCAUGCCGCGUGUAUGAAGAAGGCCUUCGGAUUGUAAAGUACUUUCAGUCGUGAGGAAGGUGUUAAGGUUAAUAACCUUAGCAAUUGACGUUAGCGACAGAAGAAGCACCGGCUAACUCCGUGCCAGCAGCCGCGGUAAUACGGAGGGUGCGAGCGUUAAUCGGAAUUACUGGGCGUAAAGGGCACGCAGGCGGUUAAUUAAGUUGGAUGUGAAAUCCCCGGGCUUAACCUGGGAAUGGCAUUCAAGACUGGUUAGCUAGAGUCUUGUAGAGGGGGUAGAAUUCCAUGUGUAGCGGUGAAAUGCGUAGAGAUGUGGAGGAAUACCGGUGGCGAAGGCGGCCCCUGGGACAAAGACUGACGCUCAUGUGCGAAAGCGUGGGGAGCAAACAGGAUUAGAUACC
rnacentral:rRNA from 1 species